rnacentral:rRNA from 1 species
AAAUUGAAGAGUUUGAUCAUGGCUCAGAUUGAACGCUGGCGGCAGGCCUAACACAUGCAAGUCGAACGGUAACAGAAAGCAGCUUGCUGCUUUGCUGACGAGUGGCGGACGGGUGAGUAAUGUCUGGGAAACUGCCUGAUGGAGGGGGAUAACUACUGGAAACGGUAGCUAAUACCGCAUAACGUCGCAAGACCAAAGAGGGGGACCUUCGGGCCUCUUGCCAUCGGAUGUGCCCAGAUGGGAUUAGCUAGUAGGUGGGGUAACGGCUCACCUAGGCGACGAUCCCUAGCUGGUCUGAGAGGAUGACCAGCCACACUGGAACUGAGACACGGUCCAGACUCCUACGGGAGGCAGCAGUGGGGAAUAUUGCACAAUGGGCGCAAGCCUGAUGCAGCCAUGCCGCGUGUAUGAAGAAGGCCUUCGGGUUGUAAAGUACUUUCAGCGGGGAGGAAGGGAGUAAAGUUAAUACCUUUGCUCAUUGACGUUACCCGCAGAAGAAGCACCGGCUAACUCCGUGCCAGCAGCCGCGGUAAUACGGAGGGUGCAAGCGUUAAUCGGAAUUACUGGGCGUAAAGCGCACGCAGGCGGUUUGUUAAGUCAGAUGUGAAAUCCCCGGGCUCAACCUGGGAACUGCAUCUGAUACUGGCAAGCUUGAGUCUCGUAGAGGGGGGUAGAAUUCCAGGUGUAGCGGUGAAAUGCGUAGAGAUCUGGAGGA